UUCAAAAAGACAGCACACCGUCACACAGCGCCCCGCGGGGGAAGUCCGGUGAGAGUCCGGCGCUGACCCGCAACGGUAAGCGGAAGCCUGCUUCCGCAAGCCCGAUCGCCCGCGGGGGCGCCCGUUCCUGA
rnacentral:ncRNA from 2 species